CCAAAGGCUCUUUUCAGAGCCACGCACAAUUUUUAAAGAGAGCUG
rfam:Mus musculus chromosome 13, GRC primary reference assembly.